UCCCCCUCUUAUUCCAGGCCAUGUCUCCUCGAGGCAGAUGAUUAGUUGCUAGGUGAGCUCCGAAUAUUGGAAGACUCUCUCCUCGGCGCAGUCAAGGUUUGACGGAGACACCGGCUUCUCCCUUUUUUUCCUCUGAGUGUGUUCCACUAGAACAUUCAAAACUGUUUCUCCAAAGGGUUUUGCAGAAACUCAGACUGUUUUCUAAAGCAGAAGCACCACAGUCCACAGCGGAAGCGAUGGGCAGUGUGCGAACCAACCGCUACAGCAUAGUUUCCUCGGAAGAGGACGGCAUGAAGCUGGCAACUAUGGCAGUUGCCAAUGGCUUUGGAAAUGGGAAGAGCAAGGUACACACCAGACAGCAGUGCAGGAGCCGGUUUGUCAAGAAAGAUGGCCACUGCAAUGUCCAGUUCAUUAAUGUGGGUGAAAAAGGCCAGCGUUACCUAGCAGACAUCUUUACCACUUGUGUGGACAUCCGCUGGAGGUGGAUGUUGCUCAUCUUCUGUCUGGCAUUCAUCCUCUCAUGGCUGUUUUUUGGUUGUGUUUUUUGGUUAAUUGCCUUAUUGCACGGGGACCUAGAGGUAACAGAGGUAACCGAGGUUACAGAGAUCAAAGAAAAACCUUGCGUGUCCGAAGUGCACAGCUUCACUGCAGCCUUCCUUUUCUCCAUUGAAACACAGACAACCAUUGGCUAUGGCUUUAGGUGCGUCACAGAUGAAUGCCCCAUUGCAGUCUUCAUGGUGGUUUUCCAGUCAAUAGUUGGCUGCAUCAUUGAUGCCUUCAUCAUUGGUGCUGUCAUGGCUAAGAUGGCUAAACCGAAAAAGAGAAACGAAACUCUCAUCUUCAGCCAUAAUGCUGUGGUAGCCAUGAGGGAUGGAAAACUGUGCUUGAUGUGGCGGGUUGGGAAUCUGCGCAAAAGCCAUUUGGUGGAAGCACAUGUGAGAGCGCAACUCCUCAAGUCUCGAAUCACCACUGAAGGUGAAUACAUCCCUCUAGAUCAAAUAGACAUCAAUGUUGGGUUUGACAGUGGAAUAGACCGCAUAUUUUUGGUCUCACCCAUUACAAUUGUCCAUGAAAUAGAUGAAGAAAGUCCUUUGUAUGACUUCAGUAAGCAGGACAUGGACAAUGCAGACUUUGAAAUUGUAGUGAUAUUAGAAGGCAUGGUGGAAGCCACUGCCAUGACCACCCAGUGCCGUAGCUCAUAUCUGGCAAAUGAAAUCCUCUGGGGCCACCGUUAUGAGCCUGUACUAUUUGAAGAGAAAAACUACUACAAAGUGGAUUAUUCUAGGUUCCACAAAACAUAUGAAGUGCCGAACACACCCCUUUGUAGUGCCAGAGACUUAGCAGAAAAGAAAUACAUCCUCUCUAACGCGAAUUCAUUUUGCUAUGAGAAUGAAGUGGCCCUCACGGGCAAAGAGGAAGACGACAGUGACAAUGGGGUGCCUGAAAGCACUAGUACAGAUACCCAUCCAGACAUGGACCAUCACAGCCAAGCAGGUGUGCCCUUAGAGCCUAGACCUUUAAGGCGAGAAUCUGAAAUAUGACUGAAAUAUAUGAUUUCUGCUAUUGUUAAAAUAUAUCUGUCAGUAAUGCGAAGUGGCUGCAAACAGUUUUUCAGAUGAUGGUACUGUUGAACAAAGACAGGCAUACAGCCCUGAGGGGUCAACUGAGGCUGGUUUUUAAGUGCUGUCUUCAGAAGAGGUACAGCAAAAGCAUGAACUUGGAACAUGAAGCACUAUGUCUACGCAUACUAGAAGGCACAUAUAUGUUGUAGAAUAAAUUAUGUAUAUAUUUUUUUACAAAACUUGAACUUGCAGGCAAGCUUUGGUUGAAUUGUAUUGUUGGUCAUCUCCCACCCCCCUGCACUCCCCAAAAUGCUUCUGUCUUGGGAACAAGAAUGUUUUUAAUGGCAUAACAAAGGCAAGAGACUGCCUUACUUUUUUUUUUAAGUUGCUGCUAACUACAUGAACACAAAUGGUAAUUAUUUUUUGUUGCAGUGUAGUAUUCGUUAUAUACUUUUAAACCAAACAAAGGGUGGGGGGACCUGCAGUGUUGAACUUCUUUGUUUCAAAGCUCUCGGUCAGUCAAACAAAGUGACUGGUGAUGCUAGGGAAUCUGAAUAUGUGUUGAGGCCAGUAGUUUGGUGGCUAGAAUCAAUUUCUCUCUGUACUAUCCAGUUACAUAAGGAGUGUUAUGUAAUGCUAGGCCAUGCAGUAGCCCUACAGCAAGAUUUUUUUAAAAAACAAAAAAAUAGGAAUGGAAUAAGAUAUUUUUUCCAUCUAAAAUAUGUUUUAAUUUCAAAACUACCUAACUGAAUACCAAAGAAAAAAUGCACUCUUUUGCACAGUGAACUUUUUAUUUAAAUAGAACAGGCUGCUUUUAGACUAUUUUCAUCCCCAAAGGUCCUUUAUGUGUGGAGUAUUUCUAAUGCACCUUAGUCCAAAAGUAAAGCUUAGGAUACAUUUAAGAGUCCUCUUUUUGCUCUACCCACAUCCCCUAGUUUUGGGAAAUAAGCUUCCGGUUAUUAUUUUUAGUUUAAGGUGGUAGGGGUGGGGGGAAGGUUGAGUGAAGGGGAGCAAACCUCUGUUCUUUCCUGUUUGCUAAACAUCAGCAAGGCUGUGGAAGAAAGCCAAAUGUUAAACCAUGCAUACAUUCCAAAGUAGCUCCUGGAACACAGAACCCUAUUAGAAGUGGAACGGCAUCUUGAGGGCCUAAGCCAUCAAAGGCAACCAAGGUCAAGGUUAUGAUCCAAUUGAUAUUUAAACCAGUUUAGGUUUGCUAGACAUUCACAAAACUAUUGAUCCAGCCAUAAAGGCUAACUUGAGUGUAGUAGGUUGCUGUGAUCAAAGUAACAGGCUGGCCCCAGGAGAGAAGCAACUGAGGCGGAAUAGUCUGUUUGCAACGACCUUAGUCGUUUUCUUGUGAUGGGACCACUUCUUACCAGGACUAGAGUGUGGGAAAUGUAUGUGUGCUACUGUUUUCUAGAUUGUUUGUGGAGGGAUCAUGUGUUUGUAGGGAACAAUACUGUAAAAGAGUCCCUUCUUGUUUUUAAUAACUUGAUAAGCCUUGGUGAGACGAUCAGUGGAUGCAAUAUCUGUACUGAAAUCUUUGCACAGCUAAUGUUGAACCAUGACUUUAAUGGUAUUUUUGGUUCCCUUGCCAAGAAUGCUUUAAAAUUUCUCUGUGCCUCUAAGAUCAAGUGUACCAUUUUAGCUGCACCCAUAGACUGUAGACAUGUGAGCCCUCCUAAUAGGUGGAAGAUGAGGGAGACACCAAGGGAUGAAACUCUUUUACAGUAUUGGAUCUCAUUGUAUGCCAUUAAAAAUAGCUUGUUCUGGGCCUAAUGCUGUUUGCUAAUAAUAAUAAUAAUAAUAAUAAUGAAAAAAACUAUGGAGAUUUUGGGGCCCUGCCUGCCCUAUCAGGGGAUAGAUUGCAGGAAAGUGGCAUUUCCCAGAUAGGAUGGAAUUUACUUUAAGCAGAGUAGGUGGGUUCUAAACUGCAGAAAUUGGAUAGUGUAAACGAAGACAGGUUUGCUUGUUUUUCCUCUUACACCAGAUAGUUUAUAUACCAAGUACUGAAGCUACGUCUGCAAAAAAGUGGGGAGCUAAAUCUGCGUGGCAACCUGACUGGAGUCUCUGGGUCAGAGAAACCAUGAAAGCGAUUUUACAUUAGAUCACAAUGAAGAGUUUUACAACGAUAAAAGUGCCAACAGGUUACUUUUACAAGGUACAUCCACAUCAGGUCCUCAACCUGACAGAAAUGAAACAGAUUGGACAAAAUGCAUAUUUUGCCAAGAAGACAGUUCCGAUGUUCUUCAGUGUCCUGAUAAUUCCAAAAGAAAAGAUAAAGGUGCUGGUUACAAUAAAUAGGAGUGAUGCUUAUCUUCCUUUAUUUUGUUCUGUGCACUGUUUUGAUUUUUUUUUAGACUGGUUAAUUUUUCCAUUUUGAUAU